AUCUCUGCAAUGUUUACUUACAGACGUACAAGCAUAUACGAAAGGUUGUUGAAGUGUAUAUGCAUUUCUGCAAUUGCGCUUCGUAGAAUGUAUCAGAAAGUUGAAAUCAUCAUAUGAAAUAAAUGCGCAAUGCUGUCGUUUCUGGAGUAAUUAAAACUAUUGUAACACGCUGUAAUACUUACGUGAAAUGACACGGAAACGACUCGACUUCAUCUGAUGUGACUGUAAUUGGGUGUUAUCCUCUUGGUUGUUAUGAAGGUACCUGGUGACAAGUAAACAUGAUCAUCUAUGUAACAUCCACCACAGUUGACAGGAAGUGCAACUCAAAGCAUUAGAUAACCUGUAAAAGCAGUUUCACUAUGGAUGCAGUAACUAAACACAAAGAAACACUGCUGUGAAUAUGAGGAUGUCAGAGAUCUAUAAGUAAUUUAAUAAUGAUCCAGUGUGAUUCAGAAAGUGACAGUGAUUGAAACAUUAGUAAAAUCUUUGUGCUACAGUAAUUACACUUUGCAGUUAGAAUGUGAAUGGAAUGUUCAAGUUAAAGUCAGUGUGAUGUGUCCAAUACAGAUGAUUUGCUCUCAACCAACUGACAUGCUAUACAGCUGUAAAUAUAUACAAGGUGUUUCACUAAAUGUGUUUGCCUCUGUAAGUUACGAAGUAAUAGGCAGUGGAAAUAUUUAUUGCAGUAGGUCACCAUAAGGAAUGUUACACUGUCUGCAGAGCUGUGAACAUAGUUUAUUGUGUUAUUAUCCAAAGAGUUACAGCAAAAAUAUACAACUUUUUAAUUGGAACGAUAGUUGUUUCUAUCAUGCAUUGGAAUCAGUAACACCAGCUGUAUAUACAUCAAUUUAAGUUAGAUUCCUAUCACUUUUAAUUUGGUAGCUUCAACCCUUCAAAGUUUCAGGCACAGAUACCACACACACUGCGCAUAACGCAAUGCACCUUCUAGAUGUGGUGUGGCUGAGUUGUAAUGUCGCUGGUGUCACGGAGCGAGAAGCUUCCUCGAUGUGCUGUUAGACUGCCGAGUGUCACCGCACACGGCCCUAUACCUGACAGUUCGAGCCACACAAACAAAUGGGGAUCAAUAUACCACAGUUACUGGCAUUGGAUGAAUAUGGCAUGUACGAACAAUGAGUACGUUUACAUGUUGCUGAUGCUCGGCGAGUGCUGACACGAUGCCACUGAAGCAGCCAUGGCAUACGCUGUGAGAUAUCCUAGGUGAAGAGAUCUGGCAGCCAUUACGUUCUUAUGGAGUUGGUUUUGGCUGCAGUACACCACGAUCCACAUGCCGUUGCUGCAGUCGCUGGUGUCAGUCUCACAUCUGUGUGGUGUAUAGUACAUGCCCACAGGUUUCACCCGUACUGCCUGUCACUGACCCAGUAGCUGCAUGGGAAUGAUUUCCAUGCAAGAGUUACAUUCUGUGAAUGAACUAUGCGUAAUUUUAUGCUGGAGUCUUUGCAAGGUGUUAGUUCUCAGAUGAGUCCACGUUCACAAAUUAUGGUUCAGUGAAUCGCCAUAACAUGCACUACUGGGCCACAGGCAAUCCUCGGUGGGUACGACCUGUCGACCGGCAAUGUAGGUGGUCUAUUAACGUAUGUUGUGGAAUCGUGGGGAUGAAAUCAUCGGUCGAGACUACUUCCCAGGUACACUGACAGGUGAAUUAUAUUGCGCGUUUAUAAUUGACAGUUUGGGUGGUCUCCUUGAACGUGUGUGUCUACACAUGAGAGUCCGUAUGUGGAUGCAGCACGAUGGUCACCGAGCCCAUUCUGCGCACGCUGUUGUGGAAGAACUAAACAGCAGGUUUGUGGGAAGGUGGUUGGGAUGCCAUGGUCCUCAUUCAUGGCCUGCAAGAUCACCCGAUUUAACACCAUUAGAUUUCCUUUUGUGGAGAUAUGUAAAGGAUCGUGUUUAUGUCACUGAGCCCACAUCCCCAGAUGAUCUGAAAUGGCACAGGAUGCAUGUUGCUCUGUGACACUGGUGAUGUUACAUCUCGUCUGUAGAUCCUUUAGAAGGCACAUUGCAUUGGCAUUCAGGAACAUGGACACACAUUUGAACAUUGAAUUAACUUCCCACCUCCAGAACAUCCAUCACCCACAACACAGCCAUGUAUUAUGUACAACGUGUGGUAUCUGCCCCUGAAACUUUGAAGGGUUGUAGCUCCCAAACUAAAAGUGAUAGGAAUGCAAUUUAAAUUGAUGUAUACACUGCUGGUUUUACUGAUUCCAUUGCGUGAUAGAAACAACGAUUAUUCCAUUUAAAGAAUUGUAUCUUUUUGCUGUAAUUCUUUGGAUAACAACACAAUAAACGAUGUUCAUAGUUCCGCAGACAGUGUAACGUUUCUUAUGGUGACCUACCACAAUAAAUAUUUCUGUUGCCUAUUGCUUCGUAACUUAAGGAGGCAAGCACAUUUAGUGAAACUCUCUGUAUAUACCAAGCUAACUGUUAAUCUUUUGGCAAUAUUGAGCAACAACAGAUUAACUUGUAAGUUAUUUUGAAUGAAGUGUAGGCAAUGGUAGAUACAUCUAAAUUGAAUUGUAUAGAGGUAGAAUAAUGCUGAAUUACACAUGAUUGUUGACUGUAUUGAAUAAGAAGCUCAUAAGCUCAUACAGAGAUUGCUAGGUUCCUGUGCUGGAAGUUGCUUUGUGUAACAAGUCCUCUCUUACUGUAAAGUUUGAGAAUAUUUGAGCAUCUUCUAUUUGUUGCAAUAGUUCUCUCUCUUGAAGACCGGGAUGUUGGAAUAAGCAUUAGUAUUGUGAAUUUGUUUGACCCCUCACCUCCCUCCGUAGUAAAUGCCCAAUUCCAUUGAAAAACACUGUAGAUGCUUCUUUAAAUGGUAAAAAAAGAUUUAUUAUUAACUAGACAGCAUGAUGUUCAUCCUUAUGCUUAUUUAAUAUCUCAACCUGAUAAUUACGUAUAUGGCGGACCUGAUAAUUAAAUAUUUAAAUUUUUCAAA